rnacentral:rRNA from 1 species
UGGCUCAGAUUGAACGCUGGCGGCAGGCCUAACACAUGCAAGUCGAGCGGUAACAGGUCCAGCUUGCUGGAUGCUGACGAGCGGCGGACGGGUGAGUAACGCAUAGGAAUCUACCCGGUAGUGGGGGAUAACCUGGGGAAACCCAGGCUAAUACCGCAUACGUCCUACGGGAGAAAGGGGGCUUCGGCUCCCGCUAUUGGAUGAGCCUAUGCCGGAUUAGCUGGUUGGUGAGGUAAUGGCUCACCAAGGCGACGAUCCGUAGCUGGUCUGAGAGGAUGAUCAGCCACAUCGGGACUGAGACACGGCCCGAACUCCUACGGGAGGCAGCAGUGGGGAAUAUUGGACAAUGGGGGCAACCCUGAUCCAGCCAUGCCGCGUGUGUGAAGAAGGCCCUCGGGUUGUAAAGCACUUUCAGCGAGGAAGAACGCCUGUCGGUUAAUACCCGGCAGGAAAGACA